GCCUCGGUGGUGUAGUGGUAGCACGCACAUUCGCUAUGGAUGAAACACGGGUUCAAGUCCCGUCUGAGAUC